rnacentral:tRNA from 1 species
UAGGCAUAAGCCCGCUGGUUUGGGUGUUUGGUUGUUAACUGAAAUUUGCGGGAUCGAGGCCCGUGUGUCUAGU